rnacentral:rRNA from 1 species
AUUGAACGCUGGCGGCAUGCCUUACACAUGCAAGUCGAACGGUAACGCGGGGCAACCUGGCGACGAGUGGCGAACGGGUGAGUAAUGUAUCGGAACGUGCCCAGUUGUGGGGGAUAACUGCUCGAAAGAGCAGCUAAUACCGCAUACGACCUGAGGGUGGAAGCGGGGGAUCGCAAGACCUCGCGCGAUUGGAGCGGCCGAUGUCAGAUUAGCAAGUUGGUGGGGUAAAGGCUCACCAAGGCGACGAUCAGUAGCUGGUCUGAGAGGAUGAUCGGCCACAUUGGGACUGAGACACGGCCCAAACUCCUACGGGAGGCAGCAGUGAGGAAUAUUGGACAAUGGGCGCAAGCCUGAUCCAGCCAUGCCGCGUGCAGGAAGACGGUCCUAUGGAUUGUAAACUGCUUUUGUACGGGAAGAAACACUCCUACGUGUAGGAGCUUGACGGUACCGUAAGAAUAAGGAUCGGCUAACUCCGUGCCAGCCGCCGCGGUAAGAC